UGUCAUAGCCAUAUCACCCUGCAGCCCAAGACCAGUUACUCACUGAAGCUAAGCAGGGGUGAGCCUGUUCAGUACCUGGAUGGGAGAUCACAUGGGAAAACUAGGUUGCUGUUGGAA
rnacentral:rRNA from 1 species